CAGUAGCCGCGGUAAAACGGAGGGUGCAAGCGUUAUCCGGAUUUAUUGGGUUUAAAGGGUCCGUAGGCGGAUCUGUAAGUCAGUGGUGAAAUCUCACAGCUUAACUGUGAAACUGCCUUUGAUACUGCAGGUCUUGAGUAAAUUUGAAGUGGCUGGAAUAAGUAGUGUAGCGGUGAAAUGCAUAGAUAUUACUUAGAACACCAAUUGCGAAGGCAGGUCACUAAGAUUUAACUGACGCUGAUGGACGAAAGCGUGGGGAGCGAACAGGAUUAGAUACCCCAGUAGUCCCUGUCUCUUAUAC
rnacentral:rRNA from 1 species